UACGUAGGCAGCAAGCGUUGUUCGGAGUUACUGGGCGUAAAGAGUGCGUAGGCGGUCCUGUAAGUUUGGUGUGAAAUCUCCCGGCUCAACUGGGAGGGUGCGCCGAAGACUGCAGGGCUUGAGUAUGGGAGAGGUAAGCGGAAUUCCUGGUGUAGCGGUGAAAUGCGUAGAUAUCAGGAGGAACAUCUGUGGUGUAGACAGCUUACUGGACCAUAACUGACGCUGAGACACGAAAGCGUGGGUAGCAAACAGG
rnacentral:rRNA from 1 species